UACGUAGGGGGCAAGCGUUGUCCGGAUUUAUUGGGCGUAAAGAGCGUGUAGGCGGCCAAGCAGGUCCGCUGUGAAAACUCGAGGCUCAACCUCGAGACGUCGGUGGAAACCGUUUGGCUAGAGUCCGGAAGAGGAGAGUGGAAUUCCCGGUGUAGCGGUGGAAUGCGCAGAUAUCAGGAGGAACACCAAUGGCGAAGGCAGAUCUCUGGGCCGUAACUGACGCUGAGGAGCGAAAGCAUGGGGAGCGAACAGG
rnacentral:rRNA from 1 species